rnacentral:rRNA from 1 species
GGCCCGUAAUCCGGGUUGCGGACAGUGUCUGGUGGGUAGUUUGACUGGGGCGGUCUCCUCCUAAAGAGUAACGGAGGAGCACGAAGGUUGGCUAAUCCUGGUCGGACAUCAGGAGGUUAGUGCAAUGGCAUAAGCCAGCUUGACUGCGAGCGUGACGGCGCGAGCAGGUGCGAAAGCAGGUCAUAGUGAUCCGGUGGUUCUGAAUGGAAGGGCCAUCGCUCAACGGAUAAAAGGUACUCCGGGGAUAACAGGCUGAUACCGCCCAAGAGUUCAUAUCGACGGCGGUGUUUGGCACCUCGAUGUCGGCUCAUCACAUCCUGGGGCUGAAGUAGGUCCCAAGGGUAUGGCUGUUCGCCAUUUAAAGUGGUACGCGAGCUGGGUUUAGAACGUCGUGAGACAGUUCGGUCCCUAUCUGCCGUGGGCGCUGGAGAACUGAGGGGGGCUGCUCCUAGUACGAGAGGACCGGAGUGGACGCAUCACUGGUGUUCGGGUUGUCAUGCCAAUGGCACUGCCCGGUAGCUAAAUGCGGACGAGAUAAGUGCUGAAAGCAUCUAAGCACGAAACUUGCCCCGAGAUGAGUUCUCCCUGACUCCUUGAGAGUCCUGAAGGAACGUUGAAGACGACGACGUUGAUAGGCCGGGUGUGUAAGCGCAGCGAUGCGUUGAGCUAACCGGUACUAAUGAACCGUGAGGCUUAACCUUACAACGCCGAAG